GACGUGAUCAGGCCUGAUUCAUAGGUUUGGGUGGGGAACUGAGAUCAGAAUUUAAUUUAAAAUGUAUAUUUUCUAAAGAAAAUCAUGAACUAACGUGAUGAUGCCUCAACCAGCAGCAAAAGAGUAAAAAAAAUCUCUCUUUUUUUGUUCUUUGUGGGUCAGAAAUAGAAAAAUGAAGAUUUAAAUCACCUGUUAGUCAGUUAAUGUGAAAGUUAUUUAUAAAUUGUUUUUUAAACUGUGUGAGGAAACUGAAGAACCAGCAGAAAACCCAACGCAGAUAAGGGGUUUACUUCCUGUUUAUGGGAAUAUGUGGGAAAUGUGAACUUCCUGGAAAAUAACCAUGCUACCAGGAUUAAAGCAUCAGCUCAUGUAUAAACUCAACAUUUCCACCUGCAUGUAUUUUUCAACAGCACCAUAUUCAGCAAAACAGGAAGUGAUUCUUGUGGAGGAUCUGAGCAUGCUCCUUGCAUUUGUGGACAUCAUCUUCCUGGAACUGGCACAGCACUGGAUUUAUGUUUACAUCUACCAGCCAGUAGAGGGCACCAUUGGAGGUUGCCAAACAGCCCGUUCAGCACAGCGAGGCUGGCCCUGUGGAAAAUGGCGGACUCGGCGAGUCAAGCAGCUGCGAGUUCAGAAGACGUCGUUAUUCUUCCCGGAAGAGGAGCGACCAUAAAAGAUCUAAAACCAGGGUGAGUUUGGAGGAAGCCUGAAGGUUGGUUUAUGCUUGACGCGUCCGCGAGGUCCGCACAGCUCCGCGCGGAAAAGUUGCGUCAUUUUGCGUCAUUUUAACAACCACGCCCCACCAUCGCGCCUCCGCACGGCCCAAAAUUUCCACAGCGCGCACCUAGGAAAAUUUCUAACCAUGCGGACGGUCGGACGCAGAAAAACAUGGCAGACCGGCAAGAACUAGUAUGGCAGAGGCUCGUAAAUACAGACAUUUGUAUGAUUCAGCUCUCAGAGAUCACCGUGAUCAACAUGUUGUUAAUAAUUCUUGGAGAGAAAUAACUCGCACUGUCGGAAAAGACGAGGACGCUGUUAAAAAUGCUGAAAUGCCAUGUUGUAAACAGUAAUUUCUACUUCUACUAUGGUGUAGUGUUGGAUGCAUGCCGUAGAGCUCCAUGCUGCCCCGUUCAGUUUGGGAGAAUAUUGGCUCACCGCAGAGAUGAGCCGCACGAACCAUAAACGCUGUGAGUUGUGAAGCACGUUCCAUCCGCGAGCCGCAUCACCAAGCGGAAAGUGAAUGCGUCAAGCAUAAACCAAGCUUAACAGAUGGACCCAAAUUAAAAAGGUCACAUACUGGCAGCGAACCUGGUAUACCGACGGCUGGAAACCUUGUUCUGUUGUUGCAACUACAACCUCCACACACUAGAUGUCGCUUUGGUGUUCGUGUCUCGUAUUCCACCUUUAAGGUCAGUUAUUCAGCAGACAUUAACUUUUGGUCUGCCUUUAUUUCAUCACCCAUAUAUCUACAGACUGGAUCUAAAUUUAAAAAAAAAACAGCUAAUCUGUGAGCUGUUAACAGGUAGAAACUCCUCAGCUGCACUUUGGUAUUCACAAAUAAAUACUCAGAUGCAGGCAGCCAAUGAAAGCAAUAUCUAUUUUAAACUGACGGCCAUAUUGUAUUACAAAAAGAAGCAUUUAAAGAAGCAGCGAGGUUUAAUCUUCUCCUUUUUGUUACAAGAGUGAUUAGAGCGUACAACUUAUACUGCAGCCAUCCACUAGAGGGCGUGUUUGUUGCAUUUAUUUUAUGGCUAAAAACUGGAAUUUGUGUAGAAUGCAUCCAAAAUAAAGUCCCGGUAAACCAAUAAACCAGCUCACGCUGUUUCUGUCUACAUUCACAGAUUAUUUUCUUUUUUUUCAACCACAAGGAAGAAAACAGAAUAACCUCUACUGUAAAUAUCAUCUGAGUAGACUACCACAACCUGCAGACACAAACGAACCUCGUCUGAUCUGUCUUCCAGAGAGGUUGUUGCACAAGAAAACUGACAGCAGCAUAACCUGUUUUUUCACCGUAACUGGCCCGCAAAGCCAACAUGUAGUGGGUGUCUGAGCCGACCAGUAAAACCUGCCACAAAAAAAAAAUUACUGGAAUGAGACAAGUCAACGAAUUAUUUCCUAGGUUCCUCAUGGCUGAAAAUUCAUCAUGACUGCCGCUCAGCUCAACGUCUCUGUUGAAGUUUGGUAAAACCUGUGAUUUAGAUGUUUCUACUUGAAUGAGCUGGAACAAACCUGAGGUUGUGAUGCUGUGACGGAGGUCCCUCUCACUAGAACAAGAUACAGCAGAAACGUCUAGACGAGCUUUCUUGUUGCCAUUUAGUUGGUUUUUAAGUCUGUUUAAUAAAGCUUCAUAAAGAACACAAAGGUAAGAUCAGUGUGUGAACAGGUCACAAUUACUGUAAAAAAACUGAAACGUUUUCUCAUUUAUUUUUCAAACCAUAACACACCAAGAGAAGCUGAGCUAAACCGAUCUUCUUGCUCUAUGAACAACCUCAGUGUGGAGUAAUGCAGAUUCAUUUUGAUUGGGAGGAAGACCAAAUGGAUUGCCACAAUUUAAAACAACCCAAAAAUGCUUUAGUGGUUAAUGUAAAUGGCAUUUUUGUAAAGUUUUACACCAGAUUACACAGUUAUCCCAUUUGAAAUAUGAUUAAUAUUCCAAAUUAAAGGCUAGCGUUGUUGCUAAUUUUUUCCAGACUUUCUUCUUCUUCUUCUUCUUCUUCUUCUUCUUCAAAAUGACAUUUCUGGCUUUUUACAGUUGGACAAUAGAGUUUUCAUGAUUCAUUUUAAAUUAAACGACUUUAAACCUGAUCCAUGUGGGACGAGCUGUUAGUGCGCCUCAGUCUAAAUUGGCUACGCUCCAUUUUUGAAAUAUUCUCAGUAUUUUAAUUUGAAUAAAAUGGUCUAAAUGUGACCAAUUGAUAAGUACAAAAUACAAUUUCUAUCUUUUUAAGUGCAAUAAGGCUUUGUCGCGACAUAAACCAAACGAAUGAGUGUGGGACGAAACAUAAAGGCACAUUGCAAAUAUUUUCUAAGAAACCUUCCAGCUUUUCUGAGAGCAGGUCUUGUGGACAGACAACAAAAGGAGCGCUUUUGGGGGGAAUGUUGUGCAUCACUUUGUUUAUAGGUAACAAAUGAAAGCCCAUAAAGACAAAAAACACAGUAUUUAUAGAACAACAUGGCAGAUGAUCUGUCAUCAUGAGCAUGCUGUGGGGGGUGGGGGUCCAUUAGCAGAUUUAAACAUCCCAAAUAAGUGGAAAAUCUGAUCAGCAGGAUUUUACUGAUCUAAAUAAUCUGAUAAAAGCUCCAGAAUUAUUUAGCUGCUUUCGAACUUUGUCACUUCCACUUCUUUGUCCUCAGGCUGAAAGAGUGGAGAGGAGGCUAAAGAGCAUUUGGCAGAAGUGCCAUAAAUUGUGUAAGGGCGCCACCUGCAGGACCCCUGGAAAUAGAUCGUUACAUUUAUUUCCUAAGAAAUAAAGUUGACUUCCAGUGAAAAGAAUAAAUAUGAAAGUACAUUUAUUAAAUAAUUAAUAUACUAAUAUUAUCAUUAUUACAAAAUAUGGUGUGCACAGUAGUUAUACACCCAUUCUGCCACUAGAUGGCAGCCUCAGCCUUUUAGCUGCUUACAAACUUUAUUGACGGAAAUGCCCAUAAUAACGGGAACGACUGAGGUCCAAAACAAAACUACACAAUUUUUUUUUUUUACUGAGAAGGACACAACGACACAAAUGCACACAAACUGCAAGAAAAUAUAACUAUUAAAGCAAAUCUAAAUAAUUUUAUUUUUUGCUUGAAAUGAUAUAACAGUUGUAUUUACCUGUUAGUUCUAAUUACUGCCAAGUGCACUAAAAGUACAAAAGAUUUAAAAAAUUAUUUAUUAAAAAAGAAAAUCCUCAAUCUUCUAUCAGAAACAAACCUCUAGACCUUCAAUCUGUGAUGUUUGGAAGCCAACGUCUAAAUAAAAACAUUACACAGGAAACAAGAGCUUUAUAAACAGUUCAGUUUUUAUUGCAAAAUAUUUUGUACAGAAUAAAACUGAAAAAACCAACAUAAGAGGAAUGCACAGUAAGGCAAACAUAAGAACUCCAAGAGUUGAACUGUACAAACACCAACGGUAAUAUUUGCUGCAUUUUCUGUACAUAAAUUGUUUUCCACUCCCACAGCAAACUCCUUAAAUGAGAAAAAAUUAAAUAAAUAAAACCAUCUUUCCAUUGUGUCCUGAAAUUAUUGCCUUGACUGUAACUUUAAACACCAACAGACUAUCCUUAAAUACUGAAACUCCUGUGAGAAGAAUGUUUUGGGAAUGAGUGUAGCAUCACAUUCACGCGGGGAGCGCCACUCCAGAAGCUAGAGCUAGCUCAGUGUAUGGAACAAAUCCUGCAGAACCUGAAUGAAACCAAAUGCACGGUUUGCUUUCUGACUCUACAUCCCACUGCUGAAAUCACGGACCCCUGGCGUGUACUUGGAGGGGUUAGGAAUAGUGGUUUACGAAAGUCCGGACGUGCACAUACCCAUGCACAUCCUCAUGCGAUUUGGCACCGAUUUAAAAGUUCUGCUCUCAAAAGUAAACCACAUCUUGGUUCUUCUAGCUCUUUCUUUAUAUAUAUAUAUAUAUAUAUAUAUAUAUAUAUA